GAUGAAGAACGUAGCGAAAUGCGAUAAGUAAUGUGAAUUGCAGAAUUCAGUGAAUCAUCGAAUCUUUGAACGCACAUUGCGCCCGCCAGUAUUCUGGCGGGCAUGCCUGUUCGAGCGUCAUUGCAACCCUCAGGCCCCCGGGCCUGGCGUUGGGGAUCGGCGGAGCCCCCCGUGGGCACACGCCGUCCCCCAAAUGCAGUGGCGGUCCCGCCGCAGCUUCCAUCGCGUAGUAGCUAACACCUCGCGACUGGAGAGCGGCGCGGCCACGCCGUAAAACACCCAACUCUUCUGAAGUUGACCUCGAAUCAGGUAGGAAUACCCGCUGAACUUAAGCAUAUCAAUAAGCGGAGGA
rnacentral:misc_RNA from 1 species